rnacentral:rRNA from 1 species
UACGUAGGGGGCUAGCGUUGUCCGGAUUUAUUGGGCGUAAAGAGCGUGUAGGCGGCCAGGUAGGUCUGCUGUGAAAACUCGAGGCUCAACCUCGAGACGUCGGCGGAAACCAUCUGGCUAGAGUCCGGAAGAGGAGAGUGGAAUUCCUGGUGUAGCGGUGAAAUGCGCAGAUAUCAGGAGGAACACCGGUGGCGAAGGCGGUUCUCUGGGCCUGUACUGACGCUGAGGAACGAAAGCGUGGGGAGCGAACAGG